CGCCAGCAGCCGCGGUAAUACGUAGGGUGCAAGCGUUAUCCGGAAUUACUGGGCGUAAAGAGUGCGUAGGCGGAUUCUUAAGUCAAGUGUUAAAUCUACAGGCUCAACUUGUAGGCUGCACUUGAUACUGGGAGUCUUGAGAGUGGAAGAGGCAGACGGAAUUUCCGGUGGAGCGGUAAAAUGCGUAGAUAUCGGAAGGAACACCAAUGGCGAAGGCAGUCUGCUGGGCCAUUUCUGACGCUAAGGCACGAAAGCGUGGGGAGCGAUCGGGAUUAGAUACCCCGGUAGUCCACGCCGUAAACGAUCCCUACUAGCUUUUUCGGGUAUCGACCCCUGGAGAAGCGAAGCUAACGCGUUAAGUAGGGCGCCUGGGGAGUACGAGCGCAAGCUUAAAACUCAAAGGAAUUGACGGGGGCCCGCACA
rnacentral:rRNA from 1 species